UGGGGAAUUUUGGACAAUGGGCGAAAGCCUGAUCCAGCAAUGCCGCGUGCAGGAUGAAGGCCCUAGGGUUGUAAACUGCUUUUGUACGGAACGAAAAGCCUGGGGCUAAUAUCCCCGGGUCAUGACGGUACCGUAAGAAUAAGCACCGGCUAACUACGUGCCAGCAGCCGCGGUAAUACGUAGGGUGCAAGCGUUAAUCGGAAUUACUGGGCGUAAAGCGUGCGCAGGCGGUUUUGUAAGACAGUGGUGAAAUCCCCGGGCUCAACCUGGGAACUGCCAUUGUGACUGCAAAGCUAGAGUGCGGCAGAGGGGGAUGGAAUUCCGCGUGUAGCAGUGAAAUGCGUAGAUAUGCGGAGGAACACCGAUGGCGAAGGCAAUCCCCUGGGCCUGCACUGACGCUCAUGCACGAAAGCGUGGGGAGCAAACAGGAUUAGAUACCCUGGUAGUCCACGCCCUAAACGAUGUCAACUGGUUGUUGGGUCUUAACUGACUCAGUAACGAAGCUAACGC
rnacentral:rRNA from 1 species